rnacentral:lncRNA from 1 species
CUGAUACUUGGUCUGGCCCAGGGUCCUUCCUGGCGUGCACAUACCUCCCAGCCAAGAUGAGUUCCAGCGCCAAGGAUUCUGGGAGGCUGGUUGUCUCCUCCCUCCUAUCGGCCCCUCCCAAAUCUUCCCAGUUAGUCUUCAGGGCAGCACCAUGUUCCUUCUCAGGGCCUCCUAUUGUGAGACAACUCGUGCAAGCAUGUAUUAAUCAUGCCUGGCCAAGGUGGGCAGUUUCAAUCAAUGGUCCCCUAAGGGUUGCACAACUUUUCACCCUUACAAAAAAAUCAGUGAAUUGUAUACUUAUAGUAUGUGAAUUUUCUCACAAAGAUGUUAAGUAAAAUAAGAAAGAAAAAAGGCAGGUUAUGGAGAGCUAUUGCAGAUCAAAUAGUGACCACUCUCACUUCUCCUGAGGGAUGGGACAACUGCUGAUGGCCCAGAAGAACCCAGAGCCACAUCAGAACAUCUAGGGAAAUUCUUCCUCUGAACAAGGCCAGUGCGUGGAAAUUACAAAGAGGCAGAUUCUGCCUUGAUAUCUAGAGUGGGCCUUCCGACGGUUACAAAGGCCCUCCCAAAGCAAAAAGAAUGCUUUAUACAAGGGCUCUCCUUGGCCUUGGGUCAAGCACAGGGCUCCACCAGGACUUGGCAGUGGCCUGGGUGACAGAUGCCUCCUAAGAUUAUUUCCAGCUCAGAGGUUCAGGGACUCUGCUGUUGUGAUGGGGAAGUCUCCGUUUGUCCGUCCAGAAGCUGGAGGGUCUUUGCCACAUUUCUGAUUCACCCGGAAGGAGGUGUUUGUGUGCAGCACCGAGAUUUACUGAUGAAAGAGGCCAGAGGAGCACAAAGAUUCCCUGAAGACUUAGACUCAGGUUCAUUUAACCCCAUCUUGGACUCUACUUCUCAGCAGACCCAGAAAGUUGACCUCCUAUGCACACUUCUUGAGGAAAAGCCAGCAACCACAAAGGUAGAAAGGAAGAGAGAAAAAAUGAGAAUGAGCAAGACAUGAGAUAUAAAUGGCAGUCCUAACCACAGCUCAGUCAAUAUGAAGUUGUGCAACAGGUCUGAGAAAGCAAGCAGAGGGAGUUUGAUUUGAAGAUAGUUAUUCAGUUACCUUUCCCCUCUCUCCCUGGAAUGGAUCCAAAAGCAACAAGGAGGAUGAGAAACAAAAAUGCAAAUGCCAUUUUGAGAGCAACUUAGAGGCAGCUAACACCCAGGUCCAUACAAUUGGGAAAAAGACUGUCAUGAACAGAGUGUGAUAGGGUCCUUGUACAGAGAAAGGAUGCUUCAGGGAGAAAAUGCCAUGGCCACAGCUCUCAGGAAAGCAGCAAAAGCACCCUUCUUAAAGAUGAGAGGCAACUUUGAUGGGCAACCCCCCAAACUCUUGUGUCUAAACAUGUUUUAGGAGUAUUCCAGCUGUUAGAGAAGCUUCCCUAAAUCUAGUUUUCUUCCCAAAUGCAGAGAAGAUGGAAUAAGAAAUCAUUCUGGUGGAGUUCCCUGGUGUCUCAGGGAGUUAAAGAUGCAGCAUUGUCACUGCUGUGGUGUGGGUUUGAUCCCUGGCCGGGGAACAUCCACAUGCCACAGGUGUGGCCAAAAAAGAGAAGAAAUCAUAUUGGUAAACCAUAAUUACAGAAAGUGGUCAAUCACUCUGGGAAGAAAUAAAUCUAAACAAGUAUACA